GCCCCUUUAACGCGCACGGGUUAGUUUUUCUCUUUGGUUAUCUAGCUGUAUGAGUUAUGAAAUAUCAUAAAGCUAGAGAACCGAAAGUAGAAACUAUACCUACAGACUUCAUGACGCGC
rnacentral:precursor_RNA from 8 species